rnacentral:rRNA from 1 species
UACAGAGGUCUCAAGCGUUUGUUCGGAUUCAUUGGGCGUAAAGGGUGCGUAGGUGGCGCCGUAAGUCGGGUGUGAAAUUUCGGAGCUUAACUCCGAAACUGCAUUCGAUACUGCGGUGCUUGAGGACUGGAGAGGAGACUGGAAUUCAUGGUGUAGCAGUGAAAAUGCGUAGAGAUCAUGAGGAAGACCAGUGGCGAAGGCGGGUCUCUGGACAGUUCCUGACACUGAGGCACGAAGGCCAGGGGGAGCAAAAACGGGG